rnacentral:rRNA from 1 species
GACGAACGCUGGCGGCGUGCCUAAUACAUGCAAGUAGAACGCUGAAGGAGGAGCUUGCUUCUCUGGAUGAGUUGCGAACGGGUGAGUAACGCGUAGGUAACCUGCCUGGUAGCGGGGGAUAACUAUUGGAAACGAUAGCUAAUACCGCAUAAUAGCAGUUGUUGCAUGACAACUGUUUGAAAGGUGCAAUUGCACCACUACCAGAUGGACCUGCGUUGUAUUAGCUAGUUGGUGGGGUAACGGCUCACCAAGGCGACGAUACAUAGCCGACCUGGGAGGGGGGUCGGCCACACUGGGACUGGGACACGGCCCAGACUCCUACGGGAGGCAGCAGUAGGGAAUCUUCGGCAAUGGACGGAAGUCUGACCGAGCAACGCCGCGUGAGUGAAGAAGGUUUUCGGAUCGUAAAGCUCUGUUGUAAGAGAAGAACGAGUGUGAGAGUGGAAAGUUCACACUGUGACGGUAUCUUACCAGAAAGGGACGGCUAACUACGUG